UUAGCACUGUUCUUAUUUAUAAGCAGGAUAGUUUUGACGACCUUUAACUUGCUGUCUAGAGUUUAACAAAUCAGUGCUGUUCAUGAGCUUCAGUAAACUGAGUUGAUUUACAAAUUGACAGACCUGACUGUGCAUCAUAAGAAGCAAGGCACUUUUACCCAAAUUAGUGGAAGUUUUUCAGCUGGAUAUCAGCACCACAGGAGGCUCCAGCUCAGAAAGCCAUGUUACAGCUCGGAACUGGGACGGCAAACAGGAAAUCCUUCUAUCUUCACCUGCUUCUUCCCGUUUUCCAUAAAUUGCUACUUGUGAGCACUGCUGAAGUUUGAGGCAUGAGAAGCACUUUGGUCAGCCCAAAUAAGCAUCGUGUUCUGUUUGACUUAAUCUUGUCCAAGACGAGGAAAUGCAGCUGCCAAUAACUUCCUUUGGAUGAUAUGAAAGAGUUCUGGAAUAGUAUGUGUGGAAUGAUCUGAGAGCACGGGAUGGAAACUGGGGGUGAAUGGAAGAUAGGAAGCCCAGGUGUGACGUGCUUGUAAGGACGCAGCUGAGGAGAAGAAAUUUUCCUUCUGUCUCGCUGGAAUCUCUUUGGUCUCAUCUACAAAGUUCCUGUACUUCACACAGUGAUCUCUCUCUUGCCUGCACUGAUAGGAUGGGACGGGAGCGGGGGAAGCACAUCUGCUGCAGAGAAACCACUGGCCAAGACACAUCACUGAAAUCACUCUGAAGCACACCUUCUUACACAGUUCUGCCAUUGCUGUGUGUUACCAGAAGGAGAAAAGUACCUGGCAGGUUGCUCCGUGUGAGAGCUGCAGCAUCCCAGCUAUUGUUCUCUGCCCUGUUCUGACGGAAGCUCAGUCUGAUGCUUCUCAUAAAGGCACAGUCAGCCCGCGUUAAAUUGCAGAAGCUGUUCCUGGGGAUGAAGCAGAGCAUAAAUCUCUCCUCUCCACCACUCACAGGCAGGCUGAAUGUCAGUUAUACAUUAACUGUGCAUUUGUUAGUCAAAACCUGCGUAUGACCACACAGUGAGGAGAGUAUGAACUGUGUUAAAAGCGUAUCCUUCUGGAAUUGACUUGCAACCGUUUGUCAUUCUGGUGGUAUCACUCUACUGCAUCUCUCCUAUUUAAAGCAUGUAUAUUUUAUGAAGCAUUAACAGACAAGCAAACAUAUAGACCACAAAACCCAAAGCCUGCACUAUUCUCAAAGAGUAGCCAUUGAAAUGAAGAGAAAUUGAAAAUCUGAUCUCUCAAUAUAGUGGCUCUGUAUCUGUAAAAACAAACAAACACAAAAAUUCUAGAGGUAUAUUUUAAGAUACCAAAUCUGAGAUGUGAUGUUCGUACGCGUCAUUCACAUGAAAGGACGAAUCCAGGGAAGAAUCACCACGUUGAAGGUUACCUCUGCAGUGGCUAACUGAUGGGAAGGUAAAAUACUGCUCUCUGGUCUGGGUGGGGAAGGACUCUGCAGUAUUAAAACCCCUUAUGAGAUAUGUACAGUGGAAGAGAAAUAUAAAGUUGUUAUACUUCUCUGUUCUCUUCAUUCAACUGUUUCUCUAGUCCCCAUUCAUGAUUCUGAAGAAAAAAAAUGGAAAAAAGGGAUGAAAUCCACUUUUUCACAUCUAGCUCGUGGAUUGGGUUAAACAUUUUCAGCGGCAGAACAUUAGCAGUUAAUGACGCUCAGAUUUUUUGAUCUUUAGCUCAUUAAUAGCUGUAACAAACCAUUCUGGAACCCAGCUUCCCAUCUUUCAAUUCUUUUCCUGUGUUGCAAAGGGGAAAGAGCUGCCCUUGCUGGCAGGCUGCAAUUCCUACGGGACAUGAGUGAUUAAAAAUGUAACUGGCUCCUUGCUGUUUUGCUGUCCUGCUGGAAGAAUUAUUUUAGGAGCAUUCAAAGGAAAGAAGGCAUGGUUCCAUAAGCACAGUGUCUUUAAUGAUGCCUGUUAAAUGACAAGCAAUUUUCUGCAUUGACAAAGAAUAAAAGGUUUAUUUAUCACUGAAAAUUGAGAUGUUCCUGGUUUUCCCUUUUCUCUGCUCCUCACAUCUCAUUUUUUACUUCUCCUGAUGAAGGUUUCCACGCCUCUUUUGAGCCACACGGGCAGCGAUUUCCCAUGUGAUACCACUGAAGGAGUGCUGAUCACCAAAGAGAGAAGUGAAAACCGGUUCGAAAUGAGCAGCUGGAGCUAUGUGUGGUGCGGAAGGAGGGUUUCCCAAAGUGGGUCACCGACAAAACAGAUGCCUUCUCAUAUCGCAGCUCUGUCCCCUGGCCCACCUGCCCUCUCUGCACCUUGUUCCUGCCCGCUCCUCUCCCCCUGCUGUGCUGAAGGGCAGGGGAACUGCUGUGCUGUGCUCUGAUGGGGGGAGAUGAUAACGUUUUGAAAUGUUCUUUCAAGUCAAUUCCUGAUUGUGCUUACGUGGCAAAAUCCACAACCCUAGCUCUAAGCAAGGGAGAAUCGCCCCACAGUUCAAUAAGUAUAAUGAGAAGAUCUAGAGCCAAUUAAAAUGUGAUGAGGCUAUAGAAAUGCAGCCAAGGUAUGCAAGGCUAAAAAAACCUCAGACCUCUCAAAUGACCCUCCCUCUUCCCCCAAAACAACAGAUGGAAAGCAUCCGAUUGCCAGGACAUUUGUGUCACAGUGAAUGCUAGCAGCAUACAUCAAAUAAAACCCAAAGGCUCGUCUACCGAGGGCGUGAAUUUAAUGUUCCCUCUCUCGCGCACAGGGCGACCAGAAGGUUCCUGGAGUCCAGUUCGUGUUUGCCUGGCUUGGCCUGGCUGUUCUGAACAAAAACGAUAUAGAAGUAUCACCAAAUCAAAGAAGUCGAAAUUAAUAUGUUUAUAAUGACUUUGAUAAACACCGUCCCCCAAACUAAAGAUUCUUAAUGCAAGAGAGAGUUAAAUGGGAAAAUGAAUAACAUCAGUUUUACCAAAUAUAAAAGUCAGAAACAAUAAACAGUCCUGCUACUGUUCUGUCUCUGGUAACUUGCAUUAAAAUAUAUAUAAAGCAUUCUGGGAACUGAAGCAAUGCUUCAGUUCAAUAAAACUAAUGCAAUUAAAGAGAAAGAAUCCUGUUUUUCCCCUGCUUGCAAUUUAAAAUGAGAGCUUCCUAAAACUUGUGACCAUUGCUGGAAUCCAAUUGAGGACCCCAGCUUAUCAAAUUCCCAGCGCUGGCACCAUGCCUUUGAGGUAUUAUAAAGCGCUACUCAUCCCACCAGCUCUGUCUAUAAAUGCUCCAGAUAACUUUAAAGUGCAGACACCCCAUUUUGAAACAGGCAAGUGUUCAUUGUGAAUCAAAAUGGAGUCACCAAAUUCGUGCUGCCUUCAGACAGCUCCUUUUUUCUGCGAGGCAACAAAGGAAAACGUGUUAGCACAGAAACGUCUCCCUUUAACAUUUCUUUAAACUUGGGUAGCUUUGCAGGACAGCAUACCUACACAAAGCCGCAGGUUUCUGAGACCCUGUAGAGCAAGCAUCUUCUCGUGUAAUUCAUCCAGGGGCUGAGAAACUGCCGGGCUAAUGAGCUCUCCUGCAGCCUCUUCCCCUGCAGGUGCUUCCCUAGCAGCACAAUCUUAAAUCAGACACCUCCAUGGCAGACGUAACCCCCGAACAAACAGCAACCCCUCCCUCCCAAAGUGGCUUAAGAAAGCCACGGCAGCGCUAGCAUCUGACUACGAUGAAAGCACAACCUUCUUUUCCAUUCAGUCAGUGGGAGCUGAAUUAAUUCCUCGGCUUCUUUACUGCUGAGAGCCAUGUCUUGGGAAUUCAGUAUGUGAACAUAUUAAUCUCUCUGAUAGGCGAUAAUGCAAUAUAUUACUGAUGGGGGAGCCAGCACAUAAGCACUGUGAUAGUGACCCUGACCAGCAGAUGACUGAGCGGGUAAGGAGAGAAGGAGCCGCUCUAGCUUGAAGGCACAGCCUCCACUUUGGCAGGCAGUCCUUCACUCUUGUCCCACUACUAAUUUUCCGAUGCAUUACUUUGUCACUUGGGUAUCCAGAAAUGCUCAUUAAGAAGGUUUGUGACAGCCUCUGAUAAUACAUGUCUGUGGUAAAAUAAUUGAUCCCUCUUUGCAGUGGUGAUCUUUAACACUCGUAGGGCAUGGUAGAUUAUUAGAUGGAAGGCACUCUUUGAUGGUCUCUAGAGUAAUACGUUAGCAGACAGCAAUGUGCCAACGAUCUAUCACGUACAAAAUCAUGUCAUCCCUGGAAAAGGGCCUGGCAGAAGGGGUUAGGGGAGGAAGAAAGUUUAAUUAUAUUGGUGGAAGAAAAGGUGUCCUGAGAAGAGUGGGCAGCCUGAUUAUUUAUUGGAUGCUCAAAAGCACUCAACGCAAUCUAAGAAAAAGAUGAGCCUCCGAGAUAUGGUGGUUCACAUUAAUGUUACAGGCACUAGCCUUGAAGUCAAGUUCAUGCUGAAGAACAAAAUUACCUCUUACAAUAUGUAGUUUACUUCUGAAAAUGAAAAGGGCAAGAGAUGUAUUAGUAAUGUUGGCAUCAGUGGAGGCAGCUGUUUUUAGAUAUUUGGUAUUUCAGGGAUGUGAGUUUAGCAUCGUUAUUAGAAGUACAGCUUACUACAUUCCUCUGCAAACUUUCCAACAGUGAGCAGAUGGUUAUCCUAUUACCAGCCAUUUGCAUUUAACAUAUUGUAAUGAUUUAUAUACCACAUGUCACCGAGCAAAGUGAAAACAGUCAGUGCCAACUAAUUAGUUGAGUGUGAAGACGCAUAUCUCAACGUACAGAUCCUUAUUGUAAUCAGAUUUUAUCUUUUUGGUUGUUAAUAGGUUUAAUGUGCAAUGUAACAGAAAUACUGAUGUCAGUUAGACACGAGCCACGGUGUCCCUCCGUCAUCAGGACAGCGCUGUUAUCAUCAACACUCACACUGGUACUCCUGUUAUGCUGUUUUAUGAGUGAUGGGACAGGGAGGACAGAUUAUAACAAUCCUUUGUGCUUCUCUACCCAUCCUUCUUAAGUGUAUUUCCAAGUACUUUAUAAAUCCUGGUACAUCAGCUACUGGCUCAUUUACAGCUCAAUGCGUGCCUGCAUAGGUGGAAGCGGGAAUUGCGCAUGGUAGAGAAGAAAGACGCUGCACAGCACAUCUAAAGACAGAAAUGGACUUAAGGGUGAAAAUCAAGCAAUUGAGAACUUGAUCACAAGGUCUUCCAGGAGGUUUACAAGGAAGAAGCAGACCGCUAUUGAUAUCUGCAUAACCAUCAAGUUGGGUGAAAGACUAAAUGGUUCAAAGAGUGUAACUUCAGAAAAAUGCUCUCCAGUGCUGGGAUACCGGCACGUGUAUGUACCGUGUGUAUGUACUAUGUGUGUUGCACUGUCCAUAGAGUGUCCCAAGGCCUUCUCAGCCUUAAACCACAGCCUUAGGCAAUGGGUUAUCAGCCUCUUCCUGGAAUGUUUUUGUUUGUUUUGAAGCUUAUGUUAAAAUAGUGGUCAUCACCUGAGAAAUGUCAAAAUAAUCAUCAGUGAAGUAGAACUCUGUUACUCCUGAGUAUGGCUGUAUUAACAACAUAAAGAUCAUACCAAUGA